GAUGAACGCUGGCGGCGUGCCUAAUACAUGCAAGUCGAGCGAACAGACGAGGAGCUUGCUCCUCUGACGUUAGCGGCGGACGGGUGAGUAACACGUGGAUAACCUACCUAUAAGACUGGGAUAACUUCGGGAAACCGAAGCUAAUACCGGAUAAUAUAUUGAACCGCAUGGUUCAAUAGUGAAAGACGGUUUUGCUGUCACUUAUAGAUGGAUCCGCGCCGCAUUAGCUAGUUGGUAAGGUAACGGCUUACCAAGGCAACGAUGCGUAGCCGACCUGAGAGGGUGAUCGGCCACACUGGAACUGAGACACGGUCCAGACUCCUACGGGAGGCAGCAGUAGGGAAUCUUCCGCAAUGGGCGAAAGCCUGACGGGGCAACGCCGCGUGAGUGAUGAAGGUCUUCGGAUCGUAAAACUCUGUUAUUAGGGAAGAACAAAUGUGUAAGUAACUAUGCACGUCUUGACGGUACCUAAUCAGAAAGCCACGGCUAACUACGUG
rnacentral:rRNA from 1 species